GCACUCCAUACCCUUGUAAACAAAGACAGAGAGCAGGGAAAGAGAGACGAGGGAGAGGAGUAAAGAAAAUGGAGGAAUGCGAAGGGACCUAGAGCGUGGCGGACGGAGACAGGUCAUGACCAGAUGUUUGGUCUUGCUUGAGUGACUGUCAUUGCAGAACAAGACGCACGGUCAUAAGACGCGGCACUCAGGGGAGCUGCAUCAGACGAGGAAGGUUCCAUACAGGACGCCACGGGAUGACAGGAACGCUGACAGAAUGCGUUGUGGUUUUGGAAGCUCAAGGCUUGCGAAAACAUUCGUUUGUCUGGAAAGAGAUGAGAGGAGAAGAGAGGAAAGGAGAAGAGGACCUGAAUAUGAUGUUCUUGAUAUGUAGACUGCUUUCCUAUUUUUGCCCACUACCCCUGAACAAUAAAUAACAUUUCAACUAUUGUA